UACGGAGGGUGCAAGCGUUGUCCGGAAUCAUUGGGCGUAAAGCGCGCGUAGGCGGCCCGGUAAGUCCGCUGUGAAAGUCCAGGGCUCAACCCUGGAAAGCCGGUGGAUACUGCCGGGCUAGAGUCCGGAAGAGGCGAGUGGAAUUCCUGGUGUAGCGGUGGAAUGCGCAGAUAUCAGGAGGAACACCAAUAGCGAAGGCAGCUCGCUGGGACGGUACUGACGCUGAGGUGCGAAAGCGUGGGGAGCAAACAGG
rnacentral:rRNA from 1 species